GAGAGCCCCAGCGAGAUAAUACUUGGCCCCGCUCUU
rnacentral:misc_RNA from 1 species